GCCCGCUCCUCUCCCGGGGCGAAGGGCGGGGACGAGGCGCGCCGAAGCCCCGAGCUGAAGAGAAGGGUGGGGGCAUGAGGGCGCUGGAGUGAGGAACAGAUUGGAGCCUUCCCACUUCCUCUCCAAUCUCAGCCCCCGGGAGGAGGGAUGCAGUCUAGCACCUCAGUUAAGAAUAUGGACUCUAAAGUCAGACUGCCAGGCUUCAAAUUCCAGUUCUGCGACCUCAGCAAAGUUACUUAACCAAGCUCUCAGUGCCUUGUUUUCUUCAUCUGUAAAAUGAGGAUGACGUCACAGCAUUGUUGAGAGAAUUAAUACAGGCUCCAGACUUGUGAAUGGAGAAGUGUUGAGGUGACCCCAGCUCCAGCCACCAGCUGACGACAACCAUACCGGAGAUCCUGAGAGCUGCCUAGCUGACCCCAGGCACCCCCCAGACUUCAUGUAAGCUGUUUGAAGCCGAGGACUUUGUCUGUUUUGUUCACUCCCAAUAGAUUCAGCACUUAGAAGAAUGCCAGGCAGGCUUUCCCCACCAACCAAGAUGGAAUAACAGGGAAAAGACAUACCCUUCUAUCUUCAAUAAUUGGAAACCCAGACAAAGUUUAUGAAACGCUGGUUUUCAAGACAUAGGACAUCAGACAAUCAAGGACAGUAAACACUGAGAUGGGAAACAAACAAGGAAGCCAUGAAAACUUCAAAACUGCUUCACCACCUGGAGACCAAGCACCCUGCAUUAAAAGACAAGCCUUUGGAGUUUUUCUAAAGAAAAAACAUGAACACAGAGAACAGAAGUAAUUAUUGAAGGCCACUACUUCAUUAAGUGUGUCUGUACUGAGAGCAUCGUUCCUAGUGGCUAACCACGUUAUUAGGCUAAGAAGCCCUUUAGUAUUGGUGAAGAGUUGAUCCUGCCUGCUGCUAAGGACAUUUGUCAUGAACUUUUAGGAGAGGCUGCUGUUCAAAAGGUGGCACAUGUUCCUCUUUCAGCUAACACCAUAACUAGAAGAAUGGAUGAAAUAGCAGAGAAUAUUGAGGCACAAUUGUUAGAGAGGAUUAAUGAGUCACCGUGCUACACAAUCCACAAAAGGGUUUUGUCCCAGAAAUAGACUCAUACAUAUAUGAUCAGUGAUUUUCAACAGUGGUACAAAUGCAAGUCAGCGCAGAAAAAAUAAUCUCUUCAACAAAUGGUGCAGGAACAAUUGGAUAUCCAUAAAAUGAACUCGGAUCCACGCUUUGCACCAUAUGCAAAAAUUGACUCAAAAUAGGUAUAGGUCCUAGACCUAAAUGUAACAACCUGAAACUCUAAAAUUUCUCAGGAAAAAAAUGGGAUAAAAUCUUUGUGGUCUUGGAUUAGGCAAAGAUAUUUUCUUGUGUUUGUGGGUAAAGAAACCUUUAAUGAGGGUUCAAGGUGUAAGAGGAGGACCUUGUAGAGAGCCAGCGCUUAGCCCCAGCCUCCUCAUAUGCACAUGGCUCUGUAGAGGUUCUCCAGACAGUGCUGCUGCUGCUGUUUCGAGCCUUAUCUCCUCUGUGCUCCUCACAAGUGUCGUUAACAGCGGGCAGCUCCUGGCAGCACAAGGGACAGGGAUUUGUCUUGCUUAGCCGGGGCAAAAUGCAGUUAGAAUGGAAAAGCUAAUGGCAAGGCAUCCCAACAACAGCCUCCUCCUCCUCAAGCACAUGGGGCACUUGUGUGUGCCUCUCAGCCUGAGAGCUCCUGAUGACUGUCCUGGGGAGGUUCCCAACCACACUGUCUUGGCAGCUGGUGGAGGCAGGUGGUGAUUCCAAUUUACUGCCAUCCCCGAGUCUUCAAAAUCCAUCCUAUUGAAAAGUGAUCUGGUGAGCUCCAGCAGCAUGUGGGUUAGGGUCUCCUGCUUGGGGUUCAAGAGCUUGCAGUCCUGUUCAUUGAAAUAGGCUGUCAUGGCUGCUCAGCUCUCUGACAUAUCUCUCAGACUGGCAAAGAUAUUAGGUCUGAUACCAAAAGUACAAUCCAUAGAAGAAAAAGGAUGGAUACAUUGGACUUCAUUAAAAUUAAGAAUGUUUUCUCCUUGAAAAAUAAUGUUAAGAGAAUAAGAAGAUAAGCCACAAACUUGGAAAAAAAGUAAUUGUAAAUUACAUAUCUGAUAAAGUACUUGUACCCAAAAUAUGCACAAGAAUCUCAAAACUCAAUAAUAAGAAAACAAUCCAAUUUAAGAAAUUAUUUUAACAUACAUUUUACAAAAGAGGAUAUAUAGAUAGCAAAUAAGCCCACAAAAAGAUAUUGAAUAUUAUUGACCAUUGGGAAAAUGCAAAUUAAAACAAAAUGAGAUACCAUUACACACCUAUUAGAAUGUCUAAUAUUGAGAAGACUAAUCAUACUAACUGAUGAGGAUUUGGAGCAACUGGAACUCUCAAACCCUGCUGAUAGAUAAAUGCACAACCACUUUGGAACAGUUUGGUAGUUUUUUAAAAAGUUAAACAUACAUCUGCCUUAUGCCCCAGCCAUACAAUUUUUAGACAUUUCUCAAGGAAAAUGAAAGCAUAUGUUCAUUCAGAGAUACACAUGCAUAUUCAUUGCAGCUUUAUUUGUAACAGCCAAAAACUGGAAACAGCCCAAAUGUCCAGCAACAAAAGAAUGGAUAAACAAAUUGUGGUAUAUUUACUACCUAGCAGUUGAAAGAAAUAAACCUCUGACACACACAAGCUGGAUUAAAAAAGAAGAGGAAAUGAAUUAUUGAUACAUAUAAUAAAGAUUACUCUCAAAAUAAUUAUGGUAAGUCAAAGAAGUCAGACCAUGCUCCCUAAGAGUAUAUACUUCAUGAUUCAAUUUCUGUACAAUUCUAUAAAAUGCAAAUUAAUAUAUGAUAACAAAAAGUGAUUGCCUGGAAAUGGUGAGAGGACAGAGGGGCCAGAAUCAGCCAGGAUUACAAAGAUGCACAAGGAAACUUUUGAGGGUGGUGGAUAUCUUGAGUGUGGUGAUAGUUUUACAGUUGUAUGCCUAUGUUAGAAGCUAUCAAAUUGUACACUUUAAGUAUGUACACUUUGUUGUAUAUUAAUUAUGCCUUAAUAAAGUUAUUAUAAAAAGUAGUUCCAGGCAAUACUAGACACUCAAUAAACAUUUGUAAACUAGUCGUUGACUUUCUUGGACUGUGACUUGUUAGCAGUUAGGGAUUGAUUAUUCUGUACAUGUUU
rnacentral:lncRNA from 1 species